CGGGAGGCAGCAGUUAAGAAUCUUGCGCAAUGGGCGAAAGCCUGACGCAGCGACGCCGCGUGGACGAUGAAGGCCUUUGGGUUGUAAAGUCCAUUAAGCAGGGAAGAAGAAGCAGGGUACAAUAUGCCCUGUGGUGACGGUACCUGCCUAAAGCCUCGGCUAAUUACGUGCCAGCAGCCGCGGUAAUACGUAUGAGGCGAGCGUUGUUCGGAAUUAUUGGGCGUAAAGGGCGUGUAGGCGGGGAACUAAGUUAGAUGUGAAAGCCAUGGGCUUAACCCGUGAAUUGCAUCUAAUACUGGUUCUCUUGAGUUCGGGAGAGGUGAGCGGAAUUCCCGGUGUAGCGGUGAAAUGCGUAGAUAUCGGGAAGAACACCAGUGGCGAAGGCGCUCUGCUGGGCCAUCACUGACGCUCAUGGACGAAAGCCAGGGGAGCGAAAGGGAUUAGAUACCCCUGUAGUCCUGGCCGUAAACGAUGAACACUAGGUGUCGGGGGAAUCGACCCCUCCGGUGUCGUAGCCAACGCGUUAAGUGUUCCGCCUGGGGAGUACGCACGCAAGUGUGAAACUCAAAGGAAUUGACGGGGGCCCGCACAAGCGGUGGAGUAUGUGGUUUAAUUCGAUGCAACGCGAAGAACCUUACCAGGGUUUGACAUCCUGCGAAUCUCUUGGAAACUUGAGAGUGCCUUCGGGAACGCAGUGACAGGUGGUGCAUGGCUGUCGUCAGCUCGUGUCGUGAGAUGUUGGGUUAAGUCCCGCAACGAGCGCAACCCACGUCUUUAGUUGCCAGCAUUUAGUUGGGCACUCUAGAGAGACCGCCGGUGAUAAACCGGAGGAAGGUGUGGAUGACGUCAAGUCAUCAUGCCCCUUACAUCCUGGGCUACACACGUACUACAAUGCUACGGACAAAGGGCAGCAAGUUCGCGAGGACAAGCAAAUCCCAUAAACCGUAGCUCAGUUCAGAUCGUAGGCUGCAACUCGCCUACGUGAAGGAGGAAUCGCUAGUAAUCGCAGGUCAGCAUACUGCGGUGAAUACGUUCCCGGGCCUUGUACACACCGCCCGUCACACCAUGGAAGUUGACUACUCCAGAAGUCGUUGAGCUAACCUUCGGGAAGCAGGCGCCCAAGGAGUGGUUGGUAACUGGGGU
rnacentral:rRNA from 1 species